rnacentral:tRNA from 1 species
GGCUGGUUAGCUCAUUCGGUUAGAGCUUGGUGCCGAUAACACCAAGGUUGUGGGUUCGAUCCCUGUUCGGUCCA